UGCAGUCGAACGGCAGCGCGGGGCAACCUGGCGGCGAGUGGCGAACGGGUGAGUAAUAUAUCGGAACGUGCCCUGGAGUGGGGGAUAACGCAGCGAAAGUUGCGCUAAUACCGCAUACGAUCUAAGGAUGAAAGCGGGGGAUUCGCAAGAACCUCGUGCUCCUGGAGCGGCCGAUAUCUGAUUAGCUAGUUGGUGGGGUAAAGGCCUACCAAGGCAUCGAUCAGUAGCUGGUCUGAGAGGACGACCAGCCACACUGGAACUGAGACACGGUCCAGACUCCUACGGGAGGCAGCAGUGGGGAAUUUUGGACAAUGGGCGAAAGCCUGAUCCAGCAAUGCCGCGUGAGUGAAGAAGGCCUUCGGGUUGUAAAGCUCUUUUGUCAGGGAAGAAACGGUGAAGGCUAAUAUCCUUUGCUAAUGACGGUACCUGAAGAAUAAGCACCGGCUAACUACGUGCCAGCAGCCGCGGUAAUACGUAGGGUGCAAGCGUUAAUCGGAAUUACUGGGCGUAAAGCGUGCGCAGGCGGUUUUGUAAGUCUGUCGUGAAAUCCCCGGGCUCAACCUGGGAAUUGCGAUGGAGACUGCAAGGCUAGAAUCUGGCAGAGGGGGGUAGAAUUCCACGUGUAGCAGUGAAAUGCGUAGAGAUGUGGAGGAACACCGAUGGCGAAGGCAGCCCCCUGGGUCAAGAUUGACGCUCAUGCACGAAAGCGUGGGGAGCAAACAGGAUUAGAUACCCUGGUAGUCCACGCCCUAAACGAUGUCUACUAGUUGUCGGGUUUUAAUUAACUUGGUAACGCAGCUAACGCGUGAAGUAGACCGCCUGGGGAGUACGGUCGCAAGAUUAAAACUCAAAGGAAUUGACGGGGNCCCGCACAAGCGGNGGAUGAUGUGGAUUAAUUCGAUGCAACGCGAAAAACCUUACCUACCCUNGAC
rnacentral:rRNA from 1 species